AAAGUCUUAGGUUAAAAAAACCCUUGAUCUUCAAAAUCAAAAUUAUUUUAGACUUUA
rnacentral:tRNA from 1 species